rnacentral:rRNA from 1 species
UACGAAGGGGGGCUAGCGUUGCUCGGAAUCACUGGGCGUAAAGCGCACGUAGGCGGCUUUCUAAGUCAGGGGUGAAAUCCUGGAGCUCAACUCCAGAACUGCCUUUGAUACUGGAGAGCUUGAGUCCGGAAGAGGUGAGUGGAACUCCGAGUGUAGAGGUGAAAUUCGUAGAUAUUCGGAAGAACACCAGUGGCGAAGGCGGCUCACUGGUCCGGUACUGACGCUGAGGAGCGAAAGCGUGGGGAGCGAACAGG